UACGAGUGCCUCAAGCGUUAUCCGGAAUCAUUGGGCGUAAAGGAUGUGUAGGUGGUUGUGUUAGUCUCUUGUUAAAUUCUUCGGCUUAACCGGGGGCAUGCAAGGGAAACGGCACAACUAGAGGAUGCGAGGGGUCUGCGGAACUCAUAGUGUAGCGGUGAAAUGCGUUGAUAUUAUGGGGAACACCAAAAGCGAAGGCAGCAGACUGGAGCACUCCUGACACUGAAACAUGAAAGCGUGGGUCGCGAAUGGG
rnacentral:rRNA from 1 species